rnacentral:rRNA from 1 species
UACGUAGGGUGCGAGCGUUAAUCGGAAUUACUGGGCGUAAAGCGUGCGCAGGCGGUUAUGCAAGACAGAUGUGAAAUCCCCGGGCUCAACCUGGGAAUUGCAUCAGUGACUGCAUAGCUAGAGUGCGGCAGAGGGGGAUGGAAUUCCGCGUGUAGCAGUGAAAUGCGUAGAUAUGCGGAGGAACACCGAUGGCGAAGGCAGCCCCCUGGGCCGACACUGACGCUCAGGCACGAAAGCGUGGGGAGCAAAC